rnacentral:lncRNA from 1 species
CACCGAAGUCUUUUCUAUGAAAAAUUUUGUGAUAAGCAUGUCAUUGACCGAGUGCAAUAUCGAGACUACCUUCCCAAUAUGCUGUAUAUCUUUCACAUACAUAACCAAAAAAUUAGUGAGACUCCCACUUAUCUUCUUGCACACAUACAGUUCAUUCAUAUUUUGAUAAAGUCAAAUAUUUUGACUAUUUCAUCAAAAAUAGAAGUACCACCUUCUCAAUGCCUGCUUUAAUUCAUAAAUGGAUUUGUCCUUCCACUAGAGACAAUAGAUAGUGUGGGACAAUAGCAAGCAAAUAUUCGGAUUGACAUUUCUGUUAGCAGCCUGUUG